GACGAACCGUGCGAACGUUGUUCGGAAUCACUGGGCUUAAAGGGCGCGUAGGCGGGUGGGCAAGUCUGUGGUGAAAGCCUCCAGCUUAACUGGAGAAGUGCCGUGGAUACUGCGCAUCUUGAGGAGGGUAGGGGCAUCUGGAACGGUCGGUGGAGCGGUGAAAUGCGUUGAUAUCGACCGGAACUCCGGUGGCGAAGGCGAGGUGCUGGACCCUUUCUGACGCUGAGGCGCGAAAGCCAGGGGAGCAAACGGG
rnacentral:rRNA from 1 species